rnacentral:rRNA from 1 species
UGGGGAAUAUUGCACAAUGGAGGGAACUCUGAUGCAGCGACGCCGCGUGAACGAAGAAGGCUUUCGAGUCGUAAAGUUCUUUUAUAUGGGAAGAUAAUGACGGUACCAUAAGAAAAAGCCCCGGCUAACUACGUGCCAGCAGCCGCGGUAAUACGUAGGGGGCUAGCGUUGUCCGGAAUCACUGGGCGUAAAGGGUUCGCAGGCGGAAAUGCAAGUCAGGUGUAAAAGGCAGUAGCUUAACUAAUGUAAGCAUUUGAAACUGCAUAUCUUGAGAAGAGUAGAGGUAAGUUGAAUUUUUAGUGUAGCGGUGAAAUGCGUAGAUAUUAAAAAGAAUACCGGUGGCGAAGGCGACUUACUGGGCUCAUUCUGACGCUGAGGAACGAAAGCGUGGGUAGCAAACAGG